UAUAUGACUCUCGGCAAUGGAUAUCUCGGCUCUCGCAUCGAUGAAGAGCGCAGCGAAAUGCGAUACGUGGUGUGAAUUGCAGAAUCCCGCGAACCAUCGAGUCUUUGAACGCAAGUUGCGCCCGAGGCCAACCGGCUGAGGGCACGUCUGCCUGGGCGUCAAAC
rnacentral:rRNA from 1 species